rnacentral:rRNA from 1 species
CCGUUUAGGGGUAAACCUGAGAAACCCGAAAGGUCGAAGGGAGAAAUUCAUUCGCGUUUCGCCGUUGGCGUGAGACGUUCGUGUGACGGAAAACGUUCGCGUUUUCCGCGCCUUUCGUUUUUCGAUCCGAUAGCGAACGCGUGCACUUUUCUCCUGGUAGGACGUCGCGAUCCGUUGGGUGUCGGUCUACGGCUCGCGGUGGAGCCCGGACGUACGGCUUGCCGUCACGUUCGGACCCGCGUGUCCCGGCUGACUCGCUCGACGGUAUACGAAAGGUUUAAGGCCGCUCUUAGAGCGUUCGGCUCGUUGCAAGCGCGUCAGUUGUGUCGGCGAUCGGACCUAGUGCCGGUUCUGACCUCUGGCGACUGUUGGCUGCGAAGUUCUCGAACAGACCUUYGACCGAUCUGCGACGCUAUAGCUUUGGGUACUUUCAGGACCCGUCUUGAAACACGGACCAAGGAGUCUAGCAUGUGCGCGAGUCAUUGGGAAUCACUAAACCUAAAGGCGCAAUGAAAGUAAAAGUKCGCCUCGCGCGGACUGAGGGAAGACGAGCGGUUUACCCUUAAAAGUGGCCGCUCCGCACUCCCGGGGCGUCUCAUUCUCAUCGCGAGAAGAGGCGCACCAAGAGCGUACACGCUGGGACCCGAAAGAUGGUGAACUAUGCCUGGUCAGGACGAAGUCAGGGGAAACCCUGAUGGAGGUCCGUAGCGAUUCUGACGUGCAAAUCGAUCGUCGGAACUGGGUAUAGGGGCGAAAGACUAAUCGAACCAUCUA